GCCGCGGUAAUACGGAGGGUGCGAGCGUUGUCCGGAAUCACUGGGCGUAAAGCGUGCGCAGGCGGAUUGUUAAGCAAGAUGUGAAAUCCCCGGGCUUAACCUGGGAAUGGCAUUUUGAACUGGCAGUCUAGAGUGCGUCAGAGGGGGGUGGAAUUCCACGUGUAGCAGUGAAAUGCGUAGAUAUGUGGAGGAACACCAAUGGCGAAGGCAGCCCCCUGGGAUGACACUGACGCUCAUGUACGAAAGCGUGGGAAGCAAACAG
rnacentral:rRNA from 1 species